GAUCAUGGCUCAGGAUGAACGCUAGCUACAGGCUUAACACAUGCAAGUCGAGGGGCAUCAGGAAGAAAGCUUGCUUUCUUUGCUGGCGACCGGCGCACGGGUGAGUAACACGUAUCCAACCUACCCUUUACUCGGGGAUAGCCUUUCGAAAGAAAGAUUAAUACCCGAUGGCAUAAUGAUUCCGCAUGGUUUCAUUAUUAAAGGAUUCCGGUAAAGGAUGGGGAUGCGUUCCAUUAGGUUGUUGGUGAGUAACGG
rnacentral:rRNA from 1 species